GGGCCAGUGAAUUGUAAUACGACUCACUAUAGGGCGAAUUGGGCCCGACGUCGCAUGCUCCCGGCCGCCAUGGCGGCCGCGGGAAUUCGAUUAGAGUUUGAUCAUGGCUCAGAACGAACGCUGGCGGCAGGCUUAACACAUGCAAGUCGAGCGAACGUAGCAAUACGCGAGCGGCGCACGGGAGAGUAACACGUGGGAACCUACCUUUUGGUUCGGAAUAACGUCGGGAAACUGACGCUAAUACCGGAUAAGCCCUAUGGGGGAAAGAUUUAUUGCCGAAAGAUGGGCCCGCGUUAGAUUAGCUAGUUGGUGAGGUAAUAGCUCACCAAGGCUACGAUCUAUAGCUGGUCUGAGAGGAUGACCAGCCUCACUGGGACUGAGACACGGCCCAGACUCCUACGGGAGGCAGCAGUGGGGAAUAUUGGACAAUGGGGGAAACCCUGAUCCAGCCAUGCCGCGUGAGUGAUGAAGGCCUUCGGGUUGUAAAGCUCUUUUGGUGGGGACGAKRAUGACGGUACCCACAGAAUAAGCUCCGACAG
rnacentral:rRNA from 1 species